rnacentral:misc_RNA from 1 species
GAUGAAGAACGUAGCGAAAUGCGAUAAGUAAUGUGAAUUGCAGAAUUCAGUGAAUCAUCGAAUCUUUGAACGCAUCUUGCGCUCCUUGGUAUUCCGAGGAGCAUGCCUGUUUGAGUGUCAUUAAAUUCUCAACCUUACUAGCUUUUGCGAAGUAAGGCUUGGAUGUGGGGGUUACUUUUGCUGGCUUCUAACGAGGUCGGCUCCCCUGAAAUGCAUUAGCGGUGCCCUUGUGGACCCCGACUAUCAGUGUGAUAAUUAUCUACGCUGUUAGGCGCCCACGCUUUAGUGCUGCUUCUAACCGUCCGGUUUCUGGACAACACAAAUGACAUUUUUGACCUCAAAUCAGGUAGGACUACCCGCUGAACUUAAGAAUAUCAAUAAGCGGAGGA